GCUCUCUCCUGCAGCCGAGAGAGGAACCAGUUCCUUCUUUAUAACCCCGGCCCUCCCUCCCUCCCUCUUAGGCUCCCGCUCUCGCUCCCGCCUCUGUCCCUCCCCCCUCCCCCGAAGCCACGGGGCGGCCGAGAGCGCAGAGCGCCAAGUAGAGGGAGGGAAGGAGGGAGGAAGGGGCGCGGGCCCCCGGCUCCCGGCCCAGCUGCCUUGGUGCCUGCAUUCCCAUCUCCUCCAACUAGCCCCGAGGAGCAGGGAGCCGGCUGGCAGAGCUGGGGCAGGUGCAGACCUAACUUCAGUACUCGACAUGCUCCAGUUUCCUUCCUCUGCUUUCUGCUAUCACCAGUUUGAGUUUCAUUCCAUCUUUCUGAGGAGAGGAGGCCAGAACCAGGUUGGAGAGGGACAGUGGUUUGAUCUUUCUGGAACCAGUGGGAGGGCCACUCCCCACUCCUGUCUGCUCACCCAUCUCUCUGGGGCAAGGUUGGAGGCUCUCUAGAUGAACUUUUACUCAAAAAGGAAGAGAAAUCACAUCGGCAGAGGCAAACACAUGGCACAGACAUUGAAGGAUUGAAGGAGACGAUUACAGAAUCUGGACUUUUACCUCAACUUUCAUUGAUGCCCACAUCUUGUGGCAGGGCAAGGAUUGCUGUCCCCAUUCUACAGAUGAGAAAACUGAGGCCUGGAGAGAGGAGUUCCUUGCCAGGGUCAAGAAACUUGCCGGUGGUGGUAGCUGACUCUCGAGCCUUCAUUCAGCCCGUUUUGCUCCGCCUCGCUUAGCCUUCUGAGGAGACCGCUCAGCCCUGGGGCCCGUGGACAGGUACCUCAAUCCGGACGGAUUAUACCUCAGCCCUCGCAGAAAAGUAGUUCCAAUACCAUGUUUGUUAACUAGGUUAUCUAGGCUGUGGAAGAUUUUAAUGUUGAAUUUUAUAGCUUUACCACGCUCUGCCGUCCUUGUGAAUAUUGUAAUAUUGCAUUUUUUACAAGUUACUCUUCUGUUAAUGUUCCAGCUAGUAACUUUUAUAAUCCUCCUCAAUGAAAUUUUUUUGUAUUCUUCCGCACCGUUAACCCCGAUGGCGGCGCCUCGGCCCCUGGCAGGAGGCAGAGACGAGAUGAAUUCCUCUUUAAUCAGAAAUAAUAAUAAUAAAAACACACGCAGCUCCGC